GCAGCGUUGCAGCUUCACCACUGCUGAGCUGGAGACAGCAGCAGCUGGCACCAGCGUGGACCCAGCUCCUGAUGAGACAGGAUCUUUCCCCUUGAAGGUGCCCACAGGCUAAUGCUCUGCAGCUGGGAAGGGCCUGGUGCUGGGGAGGGAGAUGGGAAACACCUGGGGAGCCUGGAGGAGGGGCUGGAGCCUACUCCUCACAGAUCUGGCAAGGUUGGAAGCCCAGAAGAGGGCACAUCACCCCAUCGUCACAAAAUGGUGGAAGUACAGGAGCUGUUAGCCCAGAAUGAACCAAAGGAAAUGGGAACACAGCAAAACCUUCAGUGAGUGCUUUUUCCUCAUCUGGAACCUGCUAAGGGAGGCAACUCGACCAACCACAACAAACAGUGCAAGUACAAUUCCAAACCUGGUCACCGAGCGGGUGAAGGGAAGUAGAGGAGCAGCUGAAAAGAGAAACUCUCCAAACAGACCAGAGUUUGAUUGGAUUAAAAAAAGUGUAUUGGACGUCCAAUACAAAAUAAUAAACAUGAAGUUAUUAAAAAAAGCCAUAGAGUAUACAGCAAAUACUACAGAAAAGCAAAAAAAAAUUGUACAGAAAGGUAGACGUCUACAGCAGUCCUUAAAAUUAUUCUACAUGAGAAUCAUAAAACAAUAUACAGGUUUGUUUCUUUCCCCAAAUCUCUCUGAGGGAAGCUGCCACUCAACAGCUUGACUAUGACACUACAAGGAUACACAAUGUCCAAAUUUAAAAUCACAGGAUAUGUAAGAAAACGUAGCAUUAAAAUGUGAAAAAGUGCAAUACAGAUUGUACACUGAAUCGAAUAAAUGUUUUCUUUUAGUUUAACCUUAAAAAACC
ensembl:lncRNA